GACGAACGCUGGCGGCGUGCUUAACACAUGCAAGUCGAACGGAAAGGCCCCUUUGGGGGUACUCGAGUGGCGGACGGGUGCGUAACACGUGAGUAACCUUCCCUUGCCUUCGGGAUAACUUCAGGAAACUGGGGCUAAUACCGGUAAGGAAUCCUUGCUUCAUGGUGGGGGUUGGAAAGCUUCGGCGGUUUUGGAUGGCCUCGCGGCUUAUCGGCUUGUUGGUGGGGCAGUGGCUUACCAAGGCUUUGACGGGUAGCGGGACUGUGUGGGCGACCGGCCACAGUGGGACUGAGAGAAGGCCGAGGCACCGACGGGAGGGAGAAGUGGGGAAGAUUGCACAAGGGGCGGCGGGCGGAUGCAGAAACGCCGCGGGCGGGAAGACGGCCUUAGGGUUGAAAAACGAAUUCAGCAGGGGCGAAGCUUGUGGUGACGGUACCUGCAGAAGAAGCACCGGCUAACUACGUG
rnacentral:rRNA from 1 species